GAAAGCUAACAGCAUAUCUCUACCCAGUAUCUGGUGUCACUGCUCACGGACAACUAAAGAGUACUAAAAAUAAUAGUCUGAAAGAAAUACAUAGCAUGUCUGUUUGAUACAAUUUAACAAACUAAAAGAAAUAGAGAGAGGAGACUCGGGGCCCGUGAGCGUCAACGAACUACCUCGGAGACUCUGGAUUGAAGGAUAACUCUCGAUCUAAAGCUGCGGUCCGUAGACUGGGUCCUGACCUGUGCACAAAAAGGCACAAAAGCGUAGUAUCAAAACAACCGACCCUAUGUGCUGGUAACUGCCCGGCCUAACCUCGGCGAGGCAGUGAUAAGGCUAAACCGAACCUAUCACAACCAACCUGUACAGAUAUAUGUGAUUACAGAAAGAGAGCAAGAAUUUAAGCAAAUAAAAGGGGAAGGGGCAUCCUGGGGGAGUAGCAGUUCAAUUAUAACUUUUACAAUCAAGAGAUGAAACUAAAUAAAUAAUAAUGAAACAAGAAAGCCAAUGAAUCAAUAGCUGCACGGCAUCACCCUUCGUGCUUUUACUCUCAUUCCUCACCAAGGUGGUCAAAUAUAAUGCACGACAUCACCCUUUGUGCUUUUAUUCUCACUUCUCACAAGAAAUAUCAAAUACAAGGCACGACAUCACCCUUCAUGCUUUUACUUUCGAUAAACAGUGCACGGCACCACCCUUCGUGCUUUUACUAUCAUUAACAGUGCACGACAUCACGGUUCAUGCUUUUACUCUCUCUUCUUCUCCUAAUCAAUAGUCACAGCCAAACGGGAACAAGGAAAUGUAUAUAUAUCAAGACAAAAUAUCCCGACAAGGGAGAACAAUACAACAAAUGGUCCCGGCAAGGGAAAAGUACCAAAAAUCCGCUUUAGUUCAUUUAGUUAUCAACUUUCACUUCACAGUUCUUGUAACAUGUAAUUAUCACAAUUGUUCACUUACUUCUCAAUUUAAUAGCAAAUAGACAUCACGGUCAUGCUUGACUCGGGCUCAUAGGUAACCGUCACCAUACCUAUACACUGACCCCAUAUACCAUAUAACAAAUAACAAUAUAAUCCUAUUCCCUCAAGCCAAAGUUAGAUCGAACACUUACCUCGAAUCUGAAAAUGGCAACUCAAAGCUCAAUAAUCGCCUUUCCUCUAGAAUUCGACCCCGAACCAACGAUAUCUAACAUAAUCAGGUUCAAUAUUAUCAAUAAGAAUCCAAAAACACAAUACUAUAGCCUAGAAAUGCAUUUCCUAGCUUAUUUUCAAAAAUACUAAAAUUCGACACCGGGCCCACGUGGUCCAAACUCAAGCCUCGGACCAAAACACAAUCUCCCAUAACCCCAUGAGUUCAAAUGUAUAAUUAGACUUUAAAUUCGACCUCAAAUUGAGGUUAAAAUACCCAAAAUUCCAUAAACCAUAACUAAACCCAAAACCCCUAAAUUCUAUUUCAUGUUUUAGAGCUAGGAAAUUUAUGGUUUGAUGAAGAAAUAGUGAGGAAAUAAUGUUAGGAUUACUUAUCCAAGGAGUUGUGAUGAAUUAGGAGCUUGAAGUUCGUCAAUGGAGGUGCAGGAGGUGAGCUCGUGUGAGAGUUUGAAAGAAAUCCCAUAAUGACUAGUGCUGGAAUUAAUAAUAAUCAGUGAAGCAUUUUGUGCUUCGCGAUCGCGACACCUGGGCCGCGUCCGCGAUGAAGGAAUCUGCUAAGGCAUCGCGUUCGCGAUGGGACCUACGCGAACGCGAAGAAGGAAAACAGGGGGGUCCCGGGUAGCUCUAUGCGAAUGCUUAAACAGCCACACGAACGCGGUGAAGGAUGAGGCGAAGCUAUGCGAACGCGUGGAACUGGACGCGAUCACGAAGGGUAAGAAGGUUUGGGCUACGCGUACGUGAGCCAAGUGCCGCGUUCGCGAAGAAGAAAUGGCUCUGCAACAGUUGUUGGAAAAAAUCUCGUAUUUUCUAAGUUUCAAAAACACUCUGAAACACCCCGAAAUCACCCCCGAGCCCUCGGGGCUCCCAACCAAACACACACUAACUCAAUAUCAUCCUACGAACUUGCUCGAGCGAUCAAAUCGCCAAAAUAACAUCAAAAUCACAAAAUCAACCCCCAAAACUCAUGAUUUUCAUUUCUAAGUUCAAAACUUUCAAAUUUUCCACUUUUGGUCCGAAACACGUCGAACGACGUCCGUUUUCAACCAAACUUGAUAAAUAACGCUUAACGCCCAUUUAAGACUUGGUCGGGUGUCGGAACCAAAAUACGAGCUCGAUACCAUUAUUUUUUUUUUAUCAAUUUCCGUUUUCAUUUUUCUUUAAGCAUAUUCAUAAAAGAAUUUCACAGAAAAGCUCCGAACUCGGGCCUAGGACCUCUGAUUUCGAUUCCGGGAAUACGUCCGGGUCCCAAAUUUCAUUACGGACCAUCCGGGACCGUCACAUCACGGAUCCAGGUCCGUUUACCCAAAAUAUUGACCAAAGUCAACCAUAGCAAUAUUGGUAUCAAAAUUUAUAGUUUUUAACACAGAAUUCAAAUAUUUUCACAUAAAAAUUUUCCGGCUUCGCGCCCGGACUGCGCACGCACAUCAAGGCAAUCCAAUAAGAGGUUUCCAAGGCAUCAGAAGCGCAAGAAAAGGGAGAAUUACGGUGAUAACCCUUUGGAUCGUCACAGGGGUUCGACAUAUCUAUAACCAAGAUUUAAUAGCACUUCUCUAUCCCCAAAACAACUAAAAUAUUGGAAUUACAAGUGGAAGAAUUGGCUUAUCAGCUAACAACUAAUUCAAGAAAUACAUAGCUUGUCUCACAUCCAAACAACCAGAAGUGAGGAAAUAAAAAUUUCCUGUUUUUUUUACAUUUGUUGUUUUAAUAAUUGAAUUGACUUUUUUUCCAGUAAUUAUCAAAGCAUUUAAUAACAAUAUCUUUAUGUUCUUAAGUUCAAUGUCUCGGGAACAUCGCUAUCUGUCGAUACAACACAAAGGCUAACAUGGCAAAAGGAAUUAACUAAGAAAUACAGAAAAUCUAGCUUAGAAAACAGCAUCUUCAGCUUUAUUUGCUUGUCUAUUCAGAGGAAAACCUAAUAGCUAAAGCGAUUUGUCAGAAAUUUUGAACGAGCGAUUUCAUCAGACUAAGUUUAUAGUUCAGAUUACUUGAACAACUAACCUUUGGGGAACUCCUUCAACUACUUGCCUUCAAACUAUCUUGGUCCGAAGCUUUCCACAUUCCACUCACUGAUUUUGCAAAUUAACUUUAACUCCAAAUUUCAAGCUACUAAGAAGGGGAAAAUUGUAGUCAUACCUAACAGAAGCAUACAUAUAUUUAGAAACCAAAAUACUUUCAAUCACACACUCAAAUCGUAGUGAAAAUCGAACAUGCAAGACAAAAGAAGACCUUUAAGUAAAUAUAACAAUACCUGUGGGAAGAAAUUACUCUAACUGAAGAAGAUGGCAAUACAUCUGAGAAAUUACACAAAACCAAAGAAUGAGUAAAAGGCGUUGGAAAAUUGAGGGAAAUAAAAAAAAAUUUAUAAGUUUAAAUCUGAAAAUUCUAAGCUAUAAUUCAUAUACACAUGGCUGCUCCAUUCUUCAAAUAAGAGAAAUUACAUGAAUAAAAUAAAAAACAAAGCCAAUAGAACAGAUUACUUGAAGUUCCGCUACUAAAGGGUUGAGGAACAAUGCCUCUUCAGAUUGGGGGAGUGAGAGAGAAAGAAUAAAG
rnacentral:lncRNA from 1 species